GUCAGGCAUCCCUUUAGCAUAUUAUGAUAGACAUAUUGAUACGUACAUAUGAUUGUCAAGGCAAAUCAUUAUAUAUAUAAGCCCAUUAUUUAAGUCAAAUCUAAAAGUUUGGUAUAUGAUUAUUCUUUUAAUUUUCUUUACAUCCAUUGUAUAUUAAACCACUUCCCUUCAUUCAGGAAGACCAAGAACACUGUGGAAUCUGAUAUAAACCUUUGUCUUUGAGCAUGCAACAUAUUGUGGUGCAUGCUAAUGUUGUCAGCUGCGAUUUAAACUCGGAAAAGACAGUUACAUCAUACAAAACCCUUUGUAAAAAAUCCAAGCAUGAUUAAGGUUGGUUACACAUACAUUUUCAAAGCAUAUUUUUAUUUCAGCCAUAAAUGCCUCAUGUUCUGAGGCAGAAGAGUGGAACUCAAAGAGGAUUCACAAAAUGUCAUAACAUUGAUCAUCACAAUCUCAACCCAAAUAUAUUUGCAAUUAAUUUUAAUUGAACUGGUAGUUAAGUAGAAUUACGAAACUAAAUAUCCACACACAGGAUUUUGUGCAGUGAGCCGUCAUAAAAAUAAGUAAACAAAAACGGAUGACUCUUUUCACACGUUUUCAAACUAUUUUUCCACAAAAUGUCAACCAUGAACCAAAUACCUGAUUAGAGCAACUAAUCUGCAUGUAAUGCAGGUAGAUAAUUGUAACAGCACAUGGGGUAUCUUUAUAUAGAAACUAGCAUAUGUGAUUUUUGUGAUAGAUAUUUACCACUCAUGUAAUCAUGCUGAGAAGUCAUUCAAGUCUAUUUAUGUGAGCCUUUCAAUAGCAAUGGGAAAUCGCUACCCACUUUAUUGGCUAAAGGUCAAUAAAUGAAAUUACAAUUAACUCUAUAAUUACCAUCCCACAUGUUUUCACCGAAACAGCACGGCCUGGAUAUUAAUUAUCUCCUUCUAUAUUCAACAUAUAAACCGGAUAGUUGGUUAGGUUUUUGCAAGAAUGCAAAGUAGAGCAUAUAAUAUCAUAGUAUCAGGACAUAUAUUUUUAUGCUAUGACUGUGGAUAAAAUUAUUGGGAAAGGGGGAAUCUUUACAAGGUCUGAGUUCCUAGCUGGUUAAUAGAAUACCUAUUAAGGUUUUAUAAAUUAGUACAUUUUAGGUAGAGAUAGUAAUAUAGUUAGUAUAUUUGUAUUUUUUGUGUAUACAUUCAUAUAUUUGUUUGUGAAGUAUAAACAAAAAUAGAUGUGUUAUCACACUAGAAUAGUUGUUUAGUCAGUGAACCUUGAUGCAAGUAAGUUGCGAAAUAUACUAACCACAUAUGGAUUUACCAUCUACUUUUUUAAUAUAUUUUUAAAAGUUGGCUAAAUUGCAAAACAUUUCAAAGCAGCAAAGCUUUUUAUCGGGGGUGGGAGAAUGGGGGCAGGGGGGCACUAUAUAUUUAAAGAAACAAGAGGUCACCUCCUCAAAACUGAUUACCCAUCUUACUUCAGACCUGACCAGCUCAUAUAUACUUUAAUAUAUAAUAUAUUGUUUUUCACACUGAGACUCCAAGAACAUAUCAAGAUGACAGAUCUACAUGGUUCCUUUAAUUUGCAACAAGUCACAUUUCCAAAAGUUGUCCAUCUGUGCUCAUAUGAUUAAAUAUGGAAAAUUUACAUUGUUUUAAGGUCUGGACCAGCUUUGAAACCUGGCACUGGCAAUUUUUUUUUCAGAAUCCAUUUUUCAGUAGCAAAUUUACAAUAUAUAUUUUUCAUACUUGAUGUUUGCUUACUUUAAGUGUUUUAGUAAAAUUUGGAAGCUCAUGCAACUUAAAAAAAGGUAUUCUUAUAUUUCUGACGAUGACAACAUUUCCAGAUACAUAUCAUGGUUGGAGUGAAAUUUUUAAUCAGCCACUUAGUGUAGACAGUAAUACAAAGCAGAAAGACAGACAAAGAAAGACAUGCAUGAAAACAUUCAUAUAUUGUAGACACACAAUGAUGACAGUCAGAUAGGGUUAAGCUGUAAAACAGAGAACAUUUCUUAUCUAGACACCCAAACUACUGCAUAGAUAUUUAGCACAUUGCAUUUCCCAUGAGAGCUUGAUGCAUUUUUCCUUCAGCAAUCUAUACUUUGCAAUAUACAGCGGCUCUUGUGCUUAAAGGAACUACUGUAUAAUGCAUGAAGAUAAGUCUUUUUGCGUAUUUGAAGAACAGUGCUUUGGCCUGGAAUGUUUUCAUAAAAUAAAUGAAAGUCACGGAAGUAGCAUAUAGAAUUAGUACAUUUUUGGACAUGCAUUGUAAUUUCAUGCAGUUUUAUUUGCGAUUUGUCUUAUAUAACUUAUUUGGCCCUGAUAUAAUCAAUACUUUUGUCAGCAAAUGACAAUAUAACUUGUAGAUCAUUAAUUCCAAAGAGAUUAAAUUGAGCUGAAAUGGUGGUGUGUUCUUGUGUGCACUUGCAAAUUGUUGAUUAUUUUAAUGUUGGGCCAUUAUUGGUAUAAUCAGUACAGAAAUGAUAUAUUCUUACUGACCCAUGAUCUAUGUAACAUUGUGUUAUCCAUUUAUAUUCACCAUUUCAUUUUGUAUUCAGUAGUAGGAAAUUGCCACAUUUUCAUGAUUGGUUAAUUCUUUAUCCAUAAUGCAGUAUUUUUCUAUUUUGAAACAUUAUUUCUCGAAGGGCAUAACCCACAAUGACAGAUUGCUCUGAUCCCACACCCACUAAACCCUUCAUGUACCACUUAGUGUUGUUAAAUGUUAAAUAAAUGUUUAAAGAUGUGUUUAAAUUAUUUGGUCACAUGCAGAGCUUGUUAAAGGAGAAACUAACAUCAAGUCUAUUAUUUUAAAAUUAUCUGUGACGCUGUGAUAGAAGCUUAGAAAUUGCUACAUUUUAGAAACAGUCAUUAUUUGUAUCAUUACUUUGCACUGAAAAUUAGUUAGCUAAUUAAAGGGAUACUCUCUAAGCAGUAACAAUUUUGCAUCACUGUGAUGGUUAUGAUGCAAGGUAAACACUGCUUCAUGUCUCAAUGCAAAUAGGGACUUAUAACUGCAAAGACUUGGAAAAAUCACUGCAACUCUAAGCCUGCUCCUAGGGACUUUGACACCAAGAAAAACUUUUUUUUCACUUAUUUGAUAUUUUACGCAUUACUUGUAAUGGAAUAAAAAUGAGUUUAUUUCCAAUACAUGGCAUCCCUUUAAGGACACAUGGUUAGUAAACAGACAAAAUAUCAUAGCUGGAAAAAAUCUGCAAUGCUUAGAAUUGAAGAUUUUUUUUCCAAUUUAUGAUUAAGUCUAUUUUCACAUUACAUCACCACAUGAAGAUAAUCCAUCUAUAUUACUCAAUGCUUUUCAUUUUGAUUGAUUAAAGGACCACUCUAGGCACCCAGACCACUUCAGCUUAAUGAAGUGGUCUGGGUGCCAGGUCCCUCUAGGAUUAACCCCCUUUUUUUUAUAAACAUAGCAGUUUCAGAGAAACUGCUAUGUUUAUAUUAGGGUUAAUCCAGCCUCCAAAGCCUCUAGUGGCUGUCUCAUUGACAGCCACUAGAGGCUUUUGCGUGCUUCUCACAGUGAAAAUCACAGUGAGAAGACGCCAGCGUCCAUAGGAAAGCAUUGUAAGAUGAUUUCCUAUGAGACCGGCUGAAUGCGUGCGCAGCUCCUGCCGCGCAUGUGCAUUCAGCUGAAGAGGAGGAUUGCAGGCAGAGAGAAGGAGGAGAGCUCCCCGCCCGGCGCUGGAAAAAAGGUAAGUUUAUCCCCUUUCCUCUCUACAGAGCCAGGCGGGAAGGGGACCCUGAGAGUGGGGGCACCGUCAGGGCACUAUAGUGCCAGGAAAACGAGUAUGUUUUCCUGGCACUAUAGUGGUCCUUUAAACAUAACAUAAAUUCUCCUGCUUGACUAUGGGCAUGACUAUGAAAUAAAAAAAAAAAUAAGAAAAAAUGAGAAAUUGCUGUUACUAAUUGUUCAUCUCAAGCUACGGGGGAUGAUAGUUUUAAUAUAAUCCUGGUCUCUACCACCUACGAUCCUAAAACAUUUUAUGUACAAUACAAGAAAGAUGGGGAAGUGUAGACACCUUCUAAAAUCAAGACAGCCUAGGAGAGUAGUAAAGUCUCAUUUUCCAUAAUGUAGGCCAGUACUGGAAUCGUUAUCCCCGACACACACCUCAAUAAAGCACAGGGAAUACACAUUAAAAAGAAAAAAUACAUUAAAAUGUUCCUGGGAUUUCAAAUUGACUCAAGCUAAUAAUUUAAAAAUCAACAACAGAUGUAGAUGAGAGUAUAGUUCAAGUGCUCUCAACAAUGGCACACAGACAGGAAACAUUUAUUUUUAGGGUGAGGAAAGCAAGAAGUCUGCCUGAAACACUCCAAAUUAGUCAUAAACUACGUAGGUUUAUAAAUCAUCCCAAAUUGGCCUUUGAGUAAAGCUUUUCGUGGAUGGAAAUAAAAUGUAUUGUGUUUCAAGAAGGUUACUUCUGCCCAUGUUACAUAAUUUAUAACUGUUUAAUUCGUUGGUGCCUGUAUUACUCAUCCUAAAGUAAACUAUUGUUUAAAGGAAUCUGCAAAACAAUGAAAUCCUAAAAAGUAGACACAAUUUCAGUCACAUUUCCAGAAAACUUUUUGUUCUGAACAAAUGAACUCCACAAUUAUAAUAUUCCCCCCUCACUCAUUCAAAGAAGAUCCUUGAUUCUUCCACCUACCUAGUCAAAGAAGGUUGCAUAAUUUUAGCAACAGUCAACAACCUCAUUUAAUAUCACCAUGUAAAUGGUAUAUCAAGCCAUCAAUAUUUCAGUAACAAUGAAACUACAAAAAAAAAAAAAAAAGGAUAACCGAUAAGACUCAUGUGCUGACACCGAUUCUGCAGAAUCACAGGUGGACUUUUAAAGGAACUCUAUAGUGCUCCAUAACAUUUUAUUGCCCCAAACAGUUAGUGGGAUUAUAUAUAUUACAGGGCCACCUUUUGUAACAACACAGCAAGUAAAAACCCAUAACUUACCUGUAACGCAGUUCAAAGACUGCCUCUUCUCUGCAGUCAGUUCCGCCACUGCUGGGGUCAUCAGUCUUUUUGACCAUCUUGUUCAAAUCAAAUGCUUCUCAUAGAGAAGCAUUAUAGACUUAAUGCACAUGCUGGCAUUUGCCACAAUGCACCAAUCAAAUGCUUUUCUUAGAAGAUCACCGAAUCCAGUGUUUCUCUGAGAAGCAUUGAAUUAAUGUUCAACGUCAUCAUGCAGUACAUGAGGACAUCAAAUGUCUAAAAUCGAGACUGACUCACUUGUCCCUGCAGAAGAACCAUCUAGUGGCUGUCAUGGUUACUAGAGGUGUGUUUAGCCUUUCAUUGUAAAUAUUGUCUUAUCUCUAUCAAUGGCAAUAAUUUCCUUUGUGGGAGCAAAAAAGUGGUCUGGGUGCAAAUGCUGGUAGUUUAAAUAAAACAGAUUGACAAUAUACAUGGCUAUAUAGACAGGUGGAGGCAACACUGUAAUGUGAUAAUUGCUUGUUCCAUUUAUUAUCUACCAAUUAACCUUUAAAAUGCUUUAUUGUUGCAGAGCUUACAACAUUUUGCAUUUCAAGAUGCAGGAAUCUGAAUACAUUUGUUCUUUUUUUAAAUGCACAAUUGUUAUGCAGCUGGAGCAAAACGUAAGGAUAUUAAAUAUCAAAACAAUAUUCCGUCAGUUUAUGAUUAUAAAGAAAAUCUGUUUGUCAACAUGAUCUAAAUUAUAAGCAAGUUUCUUCUUUUAAAAGCCAAAAGAAAAUAAGCUUGCAGUCUAUGGGAUCACAGCUAUGAUUAAAGGAUUUGCAGACUAAUCCUAUUCCCUUAAUAUUUCUUUAUUAUUUUAUAUUUAACAGUCCUUUCACAAACUGCAGAAUGUCAACAUACUGCAUAAUUUAAGUAUGAAUAAGCCUUCUUAAGAUUCUAAUCUUUUCACCACUGCACAGCACAACAGAAAAAGUUGAUUAAUGCGUAAAUAAACAUACUACACAUUAUAAAAACGUCUUAUUUGAGACUACUGAACGUGUUCGUUGUAGAACAGGAGACAAGUAAUGCUCAUGCUUUAUUUUUUAAUAGAUACGGACUGCAAACUUAGGUCUUACUUUCAGCUGUAUUUGCCAUAAUAGACUUAAAGAUGAUAUAUGUGUGGUCAUUAAAGACUAUACCGGACUUUGAUUCCAUUACACUAUUUGUCCUUCAGUCGAUGGCUGGUCUUGGCUGAUUCUAUUGGAUGUGUCGCACUACAAGCAGAGACGUUGCCGCAGCUAGCAGCAGCAAUUAAACAAUGUGGGAUGGAUUUAUUAUUUCAUAUGUGAUUACUGGUUUUUACUUUUUGAUAAUCCCUUAUAUAUUAUUGUUUUCUACUUAACAGUGUCAGCCAACUGGAUAGAGUAUUUAACAGUGUACAGGUGAUUGGGCAUUGUACUUGGCAGUGUACAGCCCUCUUGUACAUAUUUUGGCUUUUGUGAACAUAAGUAUAUUACCUUUACUAACUCAUAUGUUUUUCACAUCUCUGGCAAUUGUCUAUAUAUUUUAAUGCAUCAAACAUAAUUCAAUCUAGCACCUUGUGCAAUGUUAUAUUGCUUCUAUAUAUGGGAUGCUGUUAUGUAAUGAACUGUUUUUGUUGGUAUGCUGUUAUACUCUUCCUAAUAAUAUAAAGAAUUAACAAAAUCUACAUUCCAAAUCUACUUUGCAUGUACAGAUUUAGCUUCUACCAAUUGCCAAGCACAUCCAUGAAUCUAGGUGGUUUUGUCAUCCAAUUUAAUGAUACUCAUUUCAUAGCCCUCAGAAGGAUAAAAGCUGACCGUACCAAGAACAAGAAUCUGCAACUGUUACUGGCUGUACAGUUAUCCUCUUUGGCUCACUUAUAUAUCUACAUUCUAUUUUAUGGAGAUUGUAUGGGGAUUAUUCAUUUAACACUGGAUUCUAGUGAACUGAAAACUGAACCUCAAAAUUAAAAUAAAGCAUGCACAGUUGGAAAAAUGCUAUAACUCCACAUGGGGAGUAAGUUCCAUCUCUACUGGGUAGUGGCUAAACUGACAAUCUAGGCACCAAAACUGCCCUGACCUUUUUUUCUUACAAUGUAAAACAUUACUGGUUCAAAAAAAAAAAAGGCAAUAUUUAGAUUUGCACAAAGCCAAUCAGGCUGACAGCCACUAUAGGCAUUUCCUUAUGAGACAAAAAUUUAAAUAAUGGAUACAUAUAUACUUAAAGUUAACAGUGUUAUUUUAAACAACACAAAUGACAUGUGAACAUUAGAUUCCACAAUGUGUGUCUGUCACCAGGAAUAACCUUCUAAUAUUUAAAGUGCAUCAAAGUGUCCCACACGAUCCUAAAACAUUAAUUAGGGUACAAAUGAACAGAUUGGCCUUAGCUUAUUACAGUAAGACCCUUACUCAAGAUCUUUUUGCUUUUGUGUUUGGGUAACCGCCACUUGGCAAGUUUGAUUAAUUAUAUUUUCUUAUGUAAA